UAGCAGGGUGAGAGUAGUGGUGAGGGCUGGUGUGGCACGUGGGGAGGGGGCCAGAGCCCUAGGUGCUGCACCUGGGGAAGGAGAGCAGACGUCGGGACCGGGGAUCCCAGGGUUAGCUAGCGUUUUCCCGGAAGGGCAAGAAAAGAUGCUCCACUGGCCCCCACAAAGCUGACCGGACUCCCUUUUGGGUGGGGACCGGGCGAGUAAAAGCAGCCUUUUGAAUGUUGACUUCUCAAUCCUUUUCAGGAGGCCCUCCGCCUGCCCUACUGAGCGAACCUUUAAGCCCCCAAGCCAGUGUUUUUGGAAAGAGAGUGGUCAAUUUCAGGAGGACAUUAAAAGCCAACCUCCCGGGCUUCAGCCCCAGCUCCUACUGCCUUCCAGCCACUCUCCCCUGCCUUUCCUUUCUGCGGCUCUUAGGAUGUUGUUGCUGCCCUUAAAGGCCGUCGUGUGAGUGCCCUGUCAGAAGAAAGCUUGGUGGUGGUUAGGAUUUUACAGAAGGCCACCAGUGAAAAGAAUGUAAGGUCACAUAGCCUGUACCAUUUCAGGGAGGCAUUGUCUAACCUGGAGCCAUGAGCCUUUUUGAAAUAAUAAUAUUGUCGACCCCCAGUUGUAUGUGCCCAAGGAGAUGGCAAACUUGAGAAACAAGAAUAAUCCUUUCAGCUGGUUUAAAGCUGAGCCCUCACUCUUGGAAUUAAGAAACUGACAAAGGAUGCAAGUUCUUGGUUUAAGGAGCCAAUGGUGUGGUUCCCAGGGACCCUCCCAAAUACACUUCCAAUCUGUUUCUGGAGGACCUGACCUGUAACUCCUGACAAUAUGUUCUGAAUGCUGAAGGAUGGAGAUACACUUUGGAGUAAGAUUCAUAUGAACUUUCAUAAAUUCUUGGGCCAAUGGACUCAAGCCCCUCAUUCAAAGAAAACACCAGAAGAGACUUGGUGUUUUGUGAAAUGGCACAUUCCAAAAUCUCUGUCACUGAGAAAAGGAUGUAAGCUCAGGAUCAAAGCAUCGUCUUCAAAGAAGGAGAAAGUGGAAAACCAUUGAGUACUCUGUUUAAGAACACCUUCAUGGAUUUGAUGGAGACAAGGGAGGAAUGUGUUUUGCUGUUUUGGAUUUCAAGAAAUGAAACAGAAACAAGAGCUGGUUUCUUGAUAACUUUGUUCUUCUACGCUAUGGUCUGUAGAAUGAUACAGUUUCUAGUUUAAUUGGUCUGUGACCUGCAGACCCCUGUGUAAGACUCUUCCAGCUUUGAACAUACCAAAGAAAAUUUUAAAAGAAGAGGGGAGAAAAAAGGAGAAAAGUCUGCAUAUUGGGUAAAGGAUGAUUUUGUAUGUGUGUGCUUUUCUAUAGUUGCUAGGAUUUCUGCAAUGAACAUGAGUUCACUUCGAAAUCAGGAAAAACACUAAUAAAUAUUGGAGUUAAUUCUAAGUAGUUAAAAGAAUAAAAUGAUAACCAAUUAUUUUUCAAGCCAAUGCAAAUUAAAAUAAAAGAAGAAUGGCAGUAAUAAUAAGACAAAGUAGAAUUCAUCAUAAAGCAACACUUGGAAUAAAAGAGCCAUUUGUGGGCAUUUUAUGUUGAUAAAAGGUACAAUGCAGGAUGAAGAUAUUAUAAUGAUCAAAGUCACACAAUAAAAGCACAAUAUUAAAUAUAAAAAACAAAAAUUUGACAGGAAUGAAAGGGGAAUUCAGCAGAAAAACAAUUGUUAUAAGAGACGUAAGCACCAGACUUUGACAAUUAGCAGAGGAAAAAAAAAGACACCUAAGUUUGAUACACCAUAAUUAUCAAAGUUGAUUAAUAGACAAAUAUUGAAUUUUGUUCCCUAGCAACAAAGAAUAUGCCUUUCUGAUGUAUUAUUUGAAAACCAGAGCAAAACAAAUACUAUAAAGGCCACAAAGAGAACUUUUGUCCAAAAUGCAACAAAACUAGACAAAAAUUACCAAAGUAAAUAAAAUUUUAAAAACUCACCCUUCCACCACUUAGAAACUAAAAAAAUAUGUAUUAUGACUGCAUUAAAAAGAAAAUGAAAACUAUAAUCACCAGCUAUUUAGAAAGUAAUAAAAAUCAGAAAGUUAUAUAUAAGCAUUCAUAGAAUGUGACUAGAUCAGUACAAAAGAGGUACGUUGAGGCCCCCACAUGCUAUCAUUAUUAAGCCAGAGAGUAAACAUAUGACUAAAGCAUAUGGCUAAAAAAUGAGAAAUAGAAGAAUAAAAUCCAACUAAGCAGAAAUAAAAGGAAAAGAAAGAUAAUAUGGCAAUUUAUAAUCAGAAAAUAAAGUAUAAUUGAUAAAUCCAA